rnacentral:rRNA from 1 species
CAGCCGCCACGGUAAUACAGAGGGUGCAAGCGUUAAUCGGAAUUACUGGGCGUAAAGCGCGCGUAGGUGGUUUGUUAAGUUGGAUGUGAAAUCCCCGGGCUCAACCUGGGAACUGCAUCCAAAACUGGCAGGCUAGAGUAGGGCAGGGGGUGGUGGAAUUUCCUGUGUAGCGGUGAAAUGCGUAGAUAUAGGAAGGAACACCAGUGGCGAAGGCGACCACCUGGGCUCAUACUGACACUGAGGUGCGAAAGCGUGGGGAGCAAACAGGAUUAGAUACCCGAGUAGUCCCUGUCUCUUAUAC